GUAUUUAGCUUGUGUCCCGUCUGCCUCCCUCUGUCGGACAGUGACAGAAUGCGGGGUUUCAGACUGAAGACACAGAAAAACUUCUGCCCAUAAAAGGGGACCAGUCCAAAGGUGUGGACUUGGUCCUAAAGGCAGGGCAGGACAGA